GACGAACGCUGGCGGCGUGCUUAACACAUGCAAGUCGAACGGAAAGGCCCUGCUUUUGUGGGGUGCUCGAGUGGCGAACGGGUGAGUAACACGUGAGUAACCUGCCCUUGACUUUGGGAUAACUUCAGGAAACUGGGGCUAAUACCGGAUAGGAGCUCCUGCUGCAUGGUGGGGGUUGGAAAGUUUCGGCGGUUGGGGAUGGACUCGCGGCUUAUAAGCUGGUUGGUGGGGUAGUGGCUGACCAAGGCUUUGACGGGUAGCCGGCCUGAGAGGGUGACCGGCCACAUUGGGACUGUGAUACGGCCCAGACUCCUACGGGAGGCAGCAGUGGGGAAUAUUGCACAAUGGGCGGAAGCCUGAUGCAGCAACGCCGCGUGCGGGAUGACGGCCUUCGGUUUGUAAACCGCUUUCGCCUGUGACGAAGCGUGAGUGACGGUAAUGGGUAAAGAAGCACCGGCUAACUACGUG
rnacentral:rRNA from 1 species